GGCUGCAUGGUGGUGCAGUUGAUAGCACUGUUGCCUUGCAGCCUGGGUUCGACUCCCAGCCUGGGACCU